rnacentral:tRNA from 1 species
AGUGUAGCCAAGCGGUAAGGCAGCGGGUUUUGAUCCCGUCAUGCGAAGGUUCGAAUCCUUCCAC